AGGGAAAGGUGAAAAGCACUUCGAACAGAAGAGUGAAAUAGUCCCUGAACCCAUACGCCUACAAGCAGUCGGAGCCGCUUCGUGCGGUGACGGCGUGCCUUUUGCAUAAUGAGCCUACGAGUUACUCAUCACCAGCGAGGUUAAGUACUUCAGGUACGUAAGCCGAAGCGAAAGCGAGUCUGAAUAGGGCGUCAAGUUGGUGGUGGUAGACGCGAAACCUUAGUGAUCUACCCAUGGGCAGGGUGAAGGUUUGGUAACACAAACUGGAGGCCCGAACCGGUAAACGUUGAAAAGUUUUCGGAUGACCUGUGGGUAGGGGUGAAAGGCCAAUCAAACUGGGAAAUAGCUCGUACUCUCCGAAAUGCAUUUAGGUGCAGCCUCUGUUGUUUUGUUCUAGAGGUAGAGCUACUGAUUGGAUGCGAGGGCUUCACCGCCUAUCAAAUCCGGCCAAACUCCGAAUGCUAGAACAUGAAGACAGGGAGUGAGCCAGCGGGUGCUAAGGUCCGUUGACGAAAGAGGGAGAACUCAGACCAUCAGCUAAGGUCCCCAAUUAUAUGCUAAGUUGGAAUUAAAACGAGGUGGGACUGCUUAGACAGCUAGGAUGUUGGCUUGGAAGCAGCCAUUCAUUUAAAGAGUGCGUAACAGCUCACUAGUCGAGCGGUCCUGCAUGGAUAAUACGCGGGCAUAAGCAUAUAACCGAAGCUAUGGGAUUGUAGAUGAUACAAUCGGUAGGAGAGCAUUCCAUUCAGCAUAGAAGCAGUACCGUGAGGUAUUGUGGAGCGGAUGGAAAAGCAAAUGUAGGCAUAAGUAACGAUAAUGCGGGUGAGAACCCCGCACGCCGAAAGAUCAAGGAUUCCCCGGCAAUGUCAAUCAUCCGGGGGUAAGUCGGAUCCUAAGGGUAAGCCGAGUGGCGAUCCCGAUGGCAAACAGGUUAAUAUUCCUGUACUGAUCAUAACUGCGAUGCAGCGACGCAGAGGUGACACUGCUGCGUACUGACGGAAUAGUACGUUGAAACCCGUAUUCUUUGAUACCGGUAGUGAAGCACGCCGGUAGAGAUGAAAGGUGAUAGUACCGCAAUGCUUCGGUUGCGCGGAUAACGCAGGUAAGCUGACUGCCAAGAAAACCUGCUAAGCUUCAGGUAAUGAUCAUCCGUACUGUAAACGGACACACGUGAUCAGGUAGAAAAUACUAAGGCGCUGAGAGAUUCAUGGUUAAGGAACUAGGCAAAAUGGUCCUGUAACUUCGGGAUAAAGGACGCUCUUGUGAAAGAGCCGCAGAUAAUAGGCCCAGGCGACUGUUUACCAAAAACACAUGGCUAUGCUAAUUCGCAAGAAGAUGUAUAUGGCCUGACACCUGCCCGGUGCCGGAAGGUUAAGAGGAGAGCUCAGAGGUAACUCGAAGGUUUGAAUUGAAGCCCCGGUAAACGGCGGCCGUAACUAUAACGGUCCUAAGGUAGCGAAAUUCCUUGUCGGGUAAGUUCCGACCUGCACGAAUGGUGUAACGAUCUGGGUACUGUCUCAACCAUGAGCUCGGUGAAAUUGUAGUUCCGGUGAAGAUGCCGGAUACCCGCAACGGGACGGAAAGACCCCGUGAACCUUUACUGCAGCUUUGCAUUGAUUUUGGGUAACAGAUGUGUAGGAUAGGUCGGAGGCUUUGAUGCUGCGUCGUCAGGCGUAGAGUAGCCGUCGUUGAAAUACGACCCUUUUGUUAUCUGAGGUCUAAUCCCGUUAGGGAGACAUUGCAUGGUGGGUAGUUUGACUGGGGUGGUCGCCUCCAAAAGUGUAACGGAGGCUUCUCAAGGUACCCUCAAGGCGUUUGGUAAUCGUCUGCAGAGUGCAAUGGCAUAAGGGUGCUUGACUGUGAGACCGACACGUCGAUCAGGUUGGAAACAAGAGCAUAGUGAUCCGGUGGUUCCGCAUGGAAGGGCCAUCGCU
rnacentral:rRNA from 1 species